rnacentral:tRNA from 1 species
GCCGCUAUAGCUCAGUUGGUAGAGCACCGCAUUCGUAAUGCGUAGGUCGGGUGUUCGAGUCACCCUAGCGGCACCA